rnacentral:rRNA from 1 species
AUGAACCCUUUUGGCGAAGAUCAUGCACAAGAAGAAAAGAAGGAGAAAGGAAAGAUUUUCUUAGAAAAGAUAUUUCAAAAGAGGAAACACGAUGCUGAAGUCUCAAUAGAACCGAGCAUCAAAAACAACAACACACAAAAGCACACACCAACACCUGGGCAGCUUAACGAGCAGGCACAGUUCGGUCAUGACAAGAAAAGGGGAAGGCAUCUUGCAAGAGUGCAGACAAGUUCCCCCAAAGCCUCGACGAUUCAAACACAUGAGAUCAGCUCAGCAAACAUAAUCUCAACUAAGAGGCCAUUCAAGCGAGCAAGCAAGGAAAUUGAGAAAGUCAACGCUCCAGCACUUGUUCCGGGAGAUUUCAUUUACAAAGAAAAGGCCAUGCAACUCUAUAGAUAUCUGAUGAGCCGACAAGGACAGAAAUAA